GCCUAACACAUGCAAGUCGAACGGUAACGGGCUCUUCGGAGUGCCGACGAGUGGCGGACGGCUGAGUAACGCGUGGGAACGUGCCCCAAAGUGAGGGAUAACUUUCGGAAACGGAAGCUAAUACCGCAUAUGAUCUUCGGAUUAAAGAAUUUAUUCGCUUUGGGAGCGGCCUGCGUACGAUUAGAUAGUUGGUGAGGUAAUGGCUCACCAAGUCGACGAUCGUUAGCUGGUCUGAGAGGAUGACCAGCCAGACUGGAACUGAGAUACGGUCCAGACUCCUACGGGAGGCAGCAGUGAGGAAUCUUCCACAAUGGGCGAAAGCCUGAUGGAGCAACGCCGCGUGCAGGAUGAAGGCCUUCGGGUUGUAAACUGCUUUUAUUAGUGAGGAAUAUGACGGUAACUAAUGAAUAAGGAUCGGCUAACUACGUGCCAGCAGCCGCGGUCAUACGUAGGAUCCGAGCGUUAUCCGGAGUGACUGGGCGUAAAGAGUUGCGUAGGUGGUUAUAUAAG
rnacentral:rRNA from 1 species